AUAGUUCGCAGAUGGUCCG
rnacentral:snRNA from 1 species